rnacentral:sRNA from 1 species
AAAACAAUUCAGCUGCUUUUUGUUUAUUGUUUCCACCCAUUUACAUAUAAACUAGGUUUUAACUCGCGGUUUACCGCGGGCAAUCAAUUUAUUUGGUUCUUAUACUAAAUAUUUGAAUAAAUUUGAUAUCUUAAACUUAUAAAUAUAAAUUUCUAGUGAUUAGUGAAGAAUCGUAAUAAAUGGUUUGGAUAUUAUUGAUUAUUGAUUUCGUGAUUGAAUAUACUGUUUUUAGAGAUGAAAUGUGAUUAUAUUUUGAUUUCAAAAACGACAUAGAUUCCUUAUUUUUGUUGAACGGUUUAGAUUGAAAGAAAUUAAUUUUAUUAAACGGUUUAGAUUGAAUCGGAUCAUAUAAAGUUUAGGAGAUUGUUAAGACCAAAUUAGCCUUAAUAAUUUUGAAUAGCAAAGAAUAAAAUCCAAAAUUGAAAUCAAAAUUGAGGCCAAAUUAGAAAAAAAUUCAAUUUGUACUUCCCUUUUAAUAAUAAAGGGAUUUAUGUUUGCAAGGUAUACAUGUCAUCAUC